GGGGGUGUAGCUCAAAUGGUAGAGCGCGCGCUUAGCAUGCGCGAGGUACCGGGAUCGAUACCCGGCACCUCCA
rfam:Ciona savignyi cont_19143, whole genome shotgun sequence.